CAUCAUGAUUUACAUUUGAGUGAGUGGCGAACUGGUGAGUAACACGUGGGAAACCUGCCCAGAAGCGGGGGAUAACACCUGGAAACAGAUGCUAAUACCGCAUAACAACUUGGACCGCAUGGUCCGAGUUUGAAAGAUGGCUUCGGCUAUCACUUUUGGAUGGUCCCGCGGCGUAUUAGCUAGAUGGUGGGGUAACGGCUCACCAUGGCAAUGAUACGUAGCCGACCUGAGAGGGUAAUCGGCCACAUUGGGACUGAGACACGGCCCAAACUCCUACGGGAGGCAGCAGUAGGGAAUCUUCCACAAUGGACGAAAGUCUGAUGGAGCAACGCCGCGUGAGUGAAGAAGGGUUUCGGCUCGUAAAACUCUGUUGUUAAAGAAGAACAUAUCUGAGAGUAACUGUUCAGGUAUUGACGGUAUUUAACCAGAAAGCCACGGCUAACUACGUGCCAGCAGCCGCGGUAAUACGUAGGUGGCAAGCGUUGUCCGGAUUUAUUGGGCGUAAAGCGAGCGCAGGCGGUUUUUUAAGUCUGAUGUGAAAGCCUUCGGCUCAACCGAAGAAGUGCAUCGGAAACUGGGAAACUUGAGUGCAGAAGAGGACAGUGGAACUCCAUGUGUAGCGGUGAAAUGCGUAGAUAUAUGGAAGAACACCAGUGGCGAAGGCGGCUGUCUGGUCUGUAACUGACGCUGAGGCUCGAAAGUAUGGGUAGCAAACAGGAUUAGAUACCCUGGUAGUCCAUACCGUAAACGAUGAAUGCUAAGUGUUGGAGGGUUUCCGCCCUUCAGUGCUGCAGCUAACGCAUUAAGCAUUCCGCCUGGGGAGUACGGCCGCAAGGCUGAAACUCAAAGGAAUUGACGGGGGCCCGCACAAGCGGUGGAGCAUGUGGUUUAAUUCGAAGCUACGCGAAGAACCUUACCAGGUCUUGACAUACUAUGCAAAUCUAAGAGAUUAGACGUUCCCUUCGGGGACAUGGAUACAGGUGGUGCAUGGUUGUCGUCAGCUCGUGUCGUGAGAUGUUGGGUUAAGUCCCGCAACGAGCGCAACCCUUAUUAUCAGUUGCCAGCAUUAAGUUGGGCACUCUGGUGAGACUGCCGGUGACAAACCGGAGGAAGGUGGGGAUGACGUCAAAUCAUCAUGCCCCUUAUGACCUGGGCUACACACGUGCUACAAUGGAUGGUACAACGAGUUGCGAACUCGCGAGAGUAAGCUAAUCUCUUAAAGCCAUUCUCAGUUCGGAUUGUAGGCUGCAACUCGCCUACAUGAAGUCGGAAUCGCUAGUAAUCGCGGAUCAGCAUGCCGCGGUGAAUACGUUCCCGGGCCUUGUACACACCGCCCGUCACACCAUGAGAGUUUGUAACACCCAAAGUCGGU
rnacentral:rRNA from 4 species